rnacentral:pre_miRNA from 1 species
AAUAUACUCCCUCCGUCCAGAAAUACUUGUCAUCAAAAUGGAUGAAAAUGGAUGUAUCUAGGACUAAAAUACAUCUAGAUACAUCCAUUUUAAUGACAAGUAUUUCUGGACGGAGGGAGUAUUUG